ACGAACGCUGGCGGCAUGCUUAACACAUGCAAGUCGAACGAGGCCGGGGGCUUGCCCCCGGCCUAGUGGCGAACGGGUGAGUAACGCGUGGGAACCUGCCUUGGAGUGGGGGAUAACCACUGGAAACGGUGGCUAAUACCGCAUGCGCCCUGCGGGGCAAAGCCGAGAGGCGCUUCGAGAGGGGCCCGCGUCCGAUCAGCUUGAUGGUGGGGUAACGGCCUACCAAGGCGUCGAUCGGUAGCUGGUCUGAGAGGAUGAUCAGCCACACUGGGACUGCGACACGGCCCAGACUCCUACGGGAGGCAGCAGUGGGGAAUAUUGGACAAUGGGCGCAAGCCUGAUCCAGCAAUGCCGCGUGCGUGAUGAAAGCCUUCGGGUUGUAAAGCGCUUUCGCCCGCGACGAUGGUGACGGUAGCGGGAGAAGAAGCCCCGGCUAACUCCGUGCCAGCAGCCGCGGUAAU
rnacentral:rRNA from 1 species